rnacentral:rRNA from 1 species
GACAGAGGGGGCAAGCGUUGCUCGGAAUCACUGGGCGUAAAGGGCGCGUAGGCGGGAUGGCAAGUCAGUCGUGAAAUCUCUCGGCUCAACCGAGAAACGUCGGCUGAUACUGCCGUUCUUGAGGGAUGCAGAGGAGACUGGAAUUCCCGGUGUAGCGGUGAAAAUGUGUAGAGAUCGGGAGGAACACCGGUGGCGAAGGCGGGUCUCUGGGCAUUUCCUGACGCUGAGGCGCGAAAGCGUGGGGAGCAAACGGG